rnacentral:lncRNA from 1 species
UUGGCUCAAUUUGGAGAGGUCGUUCUCCAGUGGGGAAGAAGGAAUAACAAAAGGAGCAUUUUUGGAGCAUUUAUUAACAGUAUAGGCUAGGCUUUUUUUCUAUGUAUUUUAUAUGUGUCUAUUCAUUUAAUGCCCUUGAUAAUCCACUGAAAGAGGUGUCAUUAUUAUCAUCCCAUUUUACAGAAGAAGAAACUGAAACAAGAAGAUGAGCAUCUCAGCAUCUCAGAGGUGAAGAAACUGGCCUAGCCACCACGUGGUGGCACUUGCAGCCUGAGUCAGCAGAUCCCCAGGCAAAUGAAGACUCUGAGAUGAAGACAGCUGAGCGCAUGAUGGGGUAGGUCAGCCUCCCUCAUGGAAAUUCUGUGUGCCUGAGGCCCACCCUUCCAGUGCAGAUGGAGGGAUGGGAUGGAAAUGAAUCUAGGGGAACGCAUCCCAGCUGUGAUCCAGCCACCUCUGCGUUUGAAGGCUGGGGGUUAUUCCCUCCUCAUGGUUGCCACGCAUUCUUAUGUUUGCAUGUCAUGCUUGGAACUGCCGCAGCCACUUUGUGACAGCCUGAGAAUGAAUCCAGCGCUAAAAUCAGUCUAGCAAAAGGAGGAGAAACACCUGGGUCUCCAUGAUGUCACUGAGCAAGUGAAUUGACCAGCUGUGAGAUGAUCCAGAACUGAGAUCCAGAGCCACAAAGGGCUUGUGCCAGACCUAAGUGAGAUGCAGAGUCGGCCUUAAACCCAAUUCUCAUGAUCAGUGGUGAUUGUGGUGAUGAUGAUGAUGAUGGUGAUUCUGGGGAUGAUGAUGAUAAUGGAUUUUUCUUCACAGUGUCUAGCAGUAUUCCUGGCACAUAAUAUGCAUGGACCUAUGCUGGAACUAAAUGAUUUAAUAUCCAUAAAGGGUCCUAUGAGGCAAGCUCCAGAGACACAGAGGAAGGCCAUACAGCAAUAGCAUGAAACACAGCUUUGAGGUCCUGGGGCCAGGGAAGGGCACAAGGUGUGGCUGAGGGGAUGCUCAUGUGUGCUUCCCUGCUCUUUCCUCAGGAAGGUUUCCCUGUUUGGAGCAGCCGCCACAUGCCAUGGCUUCUUUCUCUGCCUUUUGCUUUGAUUAAUUGCACCUUUCAUGAUUCAUAUCGCAUAAUUGCCUUCCAAAUGGGUUAUUCCUGGGUGGUAACCUUAUGGGGGUAGGUUUGUGGGUCUCUGGAGCAUCUUAAGUAUGAUGUUGCAGUCAUAACUAAAUGAGGCAUGAUCUCUUGAUGGCACAAGACAUGCAGGGAGGGUAUACCUUGUCUCUAAAUCAGCGCUAUUCCGUAGAACUUUCUCUGCUGAAGGAAAUAUGCUGUAUCUGCACCAUCCAAUAUGGAAGCCACUAGCCACAUGUUGCUAUUGAACACUUCAAAUGUGGCUAGUGCAACUUGUAACUGAGUUCUUAAUUUUAUUGAAUUCAAAUUAAUUCAACUGUAUGUGUAAGUAGCCACCUAGGAUAGUCUUGUGGCUACCAAAUUCGACAGUGCCGUCUCUAGAGUAAUCAAAAAUCUUAGGAUUCAGCAGGAUGAAGUUCGAAUGCCACUACAGUCACUCAGUGCCUGCAUGACCUUGGACGUGUCAGUUAAGCUCUCUGAGCUUCAGUGUUCUCUUCCAUAAAAUAGGUUUAGUAAUUUCUUUUCCUUGUAGUUGUUGUAACGAUUUCAUAGUAUACCAUGUGUUUACUGUCUAGAACAGUGUCAGGUGCAUAAAAUGGAAACCCAUUAAGUUGAAAGCUAUUAAUACUAUGUGUCCACUUGGAGAUCCAAACCACAUCUUACAGAUAGGAAACUUCAGUGGCAACAUUUCCUUCUUGUGAGGGGGGAAUAAAAGGGAAUCUAGGACCAAGUUACCUGAGAUUUAUGCAUCCAGCAUUACCCUCAUUCCUAUUGAUAUUAUGGAGAGAAGCUUACAGGAAAAUGUUCACCUACUUAGAAUAUAUGUUAUAGAGUGUGUUGAGGUCCAGGAAGCUGCUGUGGUUAGAAUGUACCUUAGGGACAUUCUGGGGGGUGGGUCACCAGUUCUGCUCUCAUAUUCUUGACCAGGCUUUGUGCCAGGUCAUGUAGCUCCCAGAAUGCAUCUUCUGGGUCUGGAGCUCCAUGGUAUUCUUCUACUUGGAAUAUUAUCCUGCACUCAAAACAGCACCCUUUUGUCUGCCUUACUAAUUUGCUCUCCUCUUGGACAUUCCUAUGGCAUCAUUCAGACAUUGUUCCUCUUGGAGUCUUCAGUUACCUCUUCUCUGUGCCCCUUGAACAAACCUUUGUUGCAGCACCAUUGGGAGGUCUGCAUGCCCAACUUCCUAUAAAAGGGUUAUAUCUUUCAAUCUCUAGAAAUUCUCAGAGCCUAGUACACAACCUGGUAUGUAACAGGAUCUAUAAAUGUUUAACAAGACAAUAAUAAUAACAACAAAGAUGAUAAUGUGGUGGUGAUGAUGGUGGUGAUGGCGGCAAUGAGGAUGAUGG